GAUGAACGCUGGCGGCGUGCCUAAUACAUGCAAGUCGAGCGAAUGGAUUAAGAGCUUGCUCUUAUGAAGUUAGCGGCGGACGGGUGAGUAACACGUGGGUAACCUGCCCAUAAGACUGGGAUAACUUCGGGAAACCGGGGCUAAUACCGGAUAACAUUUUGAACCGCAUGGUUCGAAAUUGAAAGGCGGCUUCGGCUGUCCCUUAUGGAUGGACCCGCGUCGCCUUAGCUAGUUGGUGAGGUAACGGCUCAACAAGGCAACGAUGCGUAGCCGACCUGAGAGGGUGAUCGGCCACACUGGGACUGAGACACGGCCCAGACUCCUACGGGAGGCAGCAGUAGGGAAUCUUCCGCAAUGGACGAAAGUCUGACGGAGCAACGCCGCGUGAGUGAUGAAGGCUUUCGGGUCGUAAAACUCUGUUGUUAGGGAAGAACAAGUGCUAGUUGAAUAAGCUGGCACCUUGACGGUACCUAACCAGAAAGCCACGGCUAACUACGUGCCAGCCGCCGCAGUAA
rnacentral:rRNA from 1 species